rnacentral:rRNA from 1 species
UACAGAGGGGGCAAGCGUUAUUCGGAAUUAUUGGGCGUAAAGGGCGCGUAGGCGGCUUUGCAAGUGGCGGGUGAAAUCCCUCGGCUUAACCGAGGAACUGCCUGCCAGACUGUGAGGCUUGAGACCGGGAGAGGUGAGUGGAAUUCCCAGUGUAGCGGUGAAAUGCGUAGAUAUUGGGAGGAACACCAGUGGCGAAGGCGGCUCACUGGACCGGAACUGACGCUGAGGUGCGAAAGCGUGGGGAGCAAACAGG